GAUGAACGCUGGCGGCGUGCUUAACACAUGCAAGUCGAACGGUGAAGCUCCAGCUUGCUGGAGUGGAUCAGUGGCGAACGGGUGAGUAACACGUGAGCAACCUGCCCCUGACUCUGGGAUAACAGCCGGAAACGGCUGCUAAUACCGGAUAUGCACCAUGAACGCAUGUUCUGUGGUGGGAAAGAUUUUUCGGUUGGGGAUGGGCUCGCGGCCUAUCAGCUUGUUGGUGAGGUAAUGGCUCACCAAGGCGUCGACGGGUAGCCGGCCUGAGAGGGUGACCGGCCACACUGGGACUGAGACACGGCCCAGACUCCUACGGGAGGCAGCAGUGGGGAAUAUUGCACAAUGGGCGAAAGCCUGAUGCAGCAACGCCGCGUGAGGGAUGACGGCCUUCGGGUUGUAACCCUCUUUUGGCAGGGAAGAAGCGAGAGUGACGGUACCUGCAGAAAAAGCGCCGGCUAACUACGUG
rnacentral:rRNA from 1 species